rnacentral:lncRNA from 1 species
AAUUUUGUAAGGAAAAAGUAGUCUGUGUGUGUAUGGUUUUUUUUUUUUUUUAAGAUUUUAUUUAUUCAUGAGAGACACAGAUAGAGAGGCAGAGACAUAGGCAGAGGAAGAAGCAGGCUCCAUGCAGGGAGCCCGAUGUGGGACUCGAUCCCAGGACUCCAGGAUCACACCCUGGGUCAAAGGCAGAUGCUCAGCCGCUGAGCCACCCAGGUGUCCCUGUGUGUGUGUGUUCUAGAAGCAUCAGCCCUUUGGGCUGGCAGGUUGGUGGGAGCUGAGUCCAUGAUGAUGUAAAGUUAUCCCUGUCUGAAGGCAAAGGCCUUCCUGUGGAUUAUGGAUGUCUGAAGCUCAGUUUCCCAAGUUCGCCUUAUAGAAAGUAGAGGAUUGUGAUUUGAAAGUGACCUACUUGAGAAUUGUCUGUAUAUAUCUUGAAUGGAUUUUUCUUUUGCAAUUUCCCCUUGCCAGAUGCAGCAGUCUCAGCCUUGGUUUCUGAGGCUGGAAAAGGAUCCUGCUUCUGUAGGACCUGCUUCUGCAGAUGCCAGUAGGAGUCUACUGGGGGUCUACUGCCCUGGGCCCAAAGAGGAGACUGACUUCUGUAUAUGUCUGCAGUGUGUGAGACAACUGAACUACUUUGCCUGAGGUUGGAGUCCCCUCAUUACUGAUCCAUCAAGUGACUCUCUUUGGUCUUACACGUUCUACCCCAGUGAGUGAUGCCAGCUGGAGCAGCACGGCCUCUGUUGCUGUUAAUGCCUAGAAAAUAAUCCCCCAAAAGGAGAAUAAGAAGUCUUUGGGCUUUCUCUUCAAAAAGGAGCCAAAGGCUACUUGAGACCAUCCUGAAUGCCACAGUUGAGCUGAUCUGGGGGUAACUUGCGUGUGGGCAAGAAGACCGUGAUUGUAAACUGAAUGCUAUGAACAUGUACGUGCUCUGUUUGGGAGCCUGCGAGGAAGCAGGUGCUCAGCCCAGGAGGAGGU